rnacentral:sRNA from 1 species
UUUUUGUAGAGAUGGGGUUUCACUGUGUUGGCCAGGCUGGUCUCGAACUCCAGACCUCAGGUGAUCUGCCCACCUCGGCCUCUCAAAGUACUGGGAUUAUAGACGUGAGCCACCGGGCCCAGCCAUUUGUAUAUUUUCUUUGGAGAAAUAUCUAUUCAAAAAUUUUCCUAUUUUUAAUUGAGUUAUUUGUCUUUUUAUUAUUGACUUUUAAGAUUUUUUUUUUUUUUUUUUUUUUUUUGAGGCAGAGUCUCGCUCUGCUGCCCAGACUGGAGCGCAGUGGCGCGAGCUCCACUCACUGCAACCUCCGCAUACUAGGUUCCAGCGAUUCUCCUGCCUCAGCCUGCUGAGUAGCUGAAAUUACAGGCGCACACCACCACGCCCGGCUAACUUUUUGUGUGUGUAUUUUUAGUAGAGACAGGGUUUCACCAUGUUGGCCAGGCUGGUUGGCCAGGCUGGUCUUGAACUUCUGACCUCAGGUGAUCCGCCCUUCUCUGCCUCCCAAAGCGCUGGGAUUACAGGCAUGAGCCACCAUACCCAGCCAACUUUUAAGAAUCUUUUUAAGGUUUUGUUGCAUACCAAAAGUGUUCUUUAUAUAUUCUGGAUGCAAGUCUCAGACAUAAUGAUUUGCAAAUAUUUUUUCUUCCAUUCUGCGAGUUUUAACUUUUUUGAUAGCAUCUUUUGAACAAAAAGUGCUAACUUUUUAUGAAGCUAAAUUUGUCUAUUUUUUUUCUUUUACCACUUGUGUUUUUGUUGUCAUGAAGAUUUACUCCUGUUUUCUCUUCUACAAGUUGUGUGGCUUUAAUUCUUACAUUUAGGCCUACAAGCCAUUUUGAGCUAAGUUUGUAUAUGCUGUGAGGUGUCACUGCCCUCAUGGUUAGAGCCCAGAAAGCAAGAGAGAAAGCCUUCUCCAGCCUGACCUGAGCCCUCCCUCUUCUGUUCCUGACUCUUAUCCGGCAGUAGCUUCACUCACUGAUCGUGGUUGGAGCCCUUUUGAGCUCUGGGGAAGGAUGGACAGAAAGAAGAGUAUCCCCUGGUUCCCCUGAGUUAUCAAGCCCCUGUGGGAGGCAGUUGGGAGGGACAUGAGGCAGAUUAGCACAGGGCAUCUGGAGCCAGCAAAGCAGUUUUAGAGCGGGAGCCUGCUUCGGGGAUGCUUGAAGGUGGGCACUGGGGUCAGGCUGCUGGCUCAGGCCCAGCUGGUCUUGCAGCAAAGCCGCCGCAGGGAAGAUGAACCUGUACGAGUCAUUUGCCCAGGCUACCCAGCUGGGCGAUCUGCACACCUGCCUGAUGAUGGACAUGAAGGCCUGCCAGGAGGACGAUGUGCGGCUCCUGUGCCACCUCACGCCCUCCAUCUACACAGAGUUUCCAGAUGAAACCUUGAGGAGCGGAGAGCUGCUGAACAUGAUUGUGGCUGUUAUUGACUCUGCACAGCUCCAGGAGCUGGUCUGCCACGUGAUGAUGGGUAACCUGGUUAUGUUUCGAAAAGACUCAGUUCUCAACAUACUCAUUCAGAGCCUAGACUGGGAGACCUUUGAGCAGUAUUGUGCCUGGCAGCUCUUUCUGGCCCACAAUAUUCCCCUGGAGACCAUAAUCCCCAUCCUGCAGCACCUCAAAUACAAGGAGCACCCAGAGGCCCUGUCCUGCCUACUGCUUCAACUCCGAAGAGAAAAGCCCAGCGAGGAGAUGGUGAAGAUGGUGCUGAGCCGGCCCUGCCAUCCUGACGACCAGUUCACCACCAGCAUCCUGCGGCACUGGUGCAUGAAACAUGACGAGCUGCUGGCCGAGCACAUCAAGUCCCUGCUCAUCAAGAACAACAGCCUGCCUCGCAAGAGACAGAGCCUGAGGAGCUCUAGCAGCAAGCUGGCCCAGCUGACUCUGGAGCAGAUCCUGGAGCACUUGGACAACCUGCGGCUCAACCUGACCAACACCAAGCAGAACUUUUUUAGCCAGACCCCAAUUCUCCAGGCGCUGCAGCAUGUCCAAGCGAGCUGUGACGAAGCCCACAAGAUGAAAUUCAGUGAUCUCUUCUCCCUGGCGGAGGAAUAUGAGGACUCUUCCACCAAGCCACCCAAGAGCCGGCGAAAAGCAGCUCUGUCCAGCCCUCGAAGUCGAAAGAAUGCCACACAGCCCCCCAAUGCCGAAGAAGAGUCGGGCUCCAGCAGUGCUUCAGAAGAGGAAGACACGAAACCGAAGCCUACCAAGCGGAAACGAAAAGGGUCCUCCGCAGUGGGCUCUGACAGUGACUGAGGCCCUGCAUUCCCUAUCCCACCCCCGGCUGGACUGCCCUCUCCUUCUUGGUGAUUCAAAGGUUAAUAGAGGCUGAGGAGAUUGCAGGGGAAACACCCUUGCUGCAUCCCCAAGCUCCCCCGGUGGAAGGAGGAGCUUUCUCCUCUGGCUGAGUUUGAGAAGCUGCCAUGCAGCCCCUAGCCCCUUCCCUCCUCCUGGGGCCUCCAGCCCCUCACACUGCUGUUCCCAGUGAUAUUUGGGAUCUGACUGAAGCCAGAGGCUCUGUAAAAUCAGACCAUAGUGGAAGUCCUCAGCCCCCUGGCCCCUUCCCCAAUCUCCUCCCCCAGUCUCCCAAAGAGCCAUUUCAACAGAGAAGGGAAAUGACAAAGGGGCAGCUGGCCAGAUAAGCUAGGAUGAGAGCAGAGACUCAGUGUGUGGGUGUCCCUUCCCGCUUCCCCUUCAGGUCUUGGUUUGUUCUGAAGGGACGUUUUAUAGUCACUAUCCACAUGCCAGUGUGAAAUGGGCAUCUAUGACGUGGUCAGGGUGUCCAUUCCUAAUCAUGGGGCAGAUGCCACAAGCAUUCAGAAAGGAGUCUGAAAGGGUGGCCACAGCCCCACGUGGUGUGCCCUGGAGGCUUAGGUUGGUCUGAGGUUGGCACCUCAAUCUACACCAGAGCCCAGGGAGUCCCAGAGGCAAGUUUCACAGAAUUGUCAAAUGAUCCCAUUUCCUUGAGUCUGUUUUUUUUUUGUUUUGUUUUGGUUUUUUUUGGCAGAGAUAAUCGUGUCUUAAAAGUUGUUUUUAAAUGACAAUAAAACAAGCCAGAAUGUC